rnacentral:rRNA from 1 species
AGCGAACGCUGGCGGCAGGCUUAACACAUGCAAGUCGAACGGUCCUUCGGGAUAGUGGCGGACGGGUGAGUAACACGUGGGAACGUACCCUUAGGUUCGGAACAACACAGGGAAACUUGUGCUAAUACCGGAUAAGCACUUCGGGUGAAAGAUUUAUCGGCUUUGGAGCGGCCCGCGUCUGAUUAGCUUGUUGGUGAGGUAAUGGCUCACCAAGGCUACGAUCAGUAGCUGGUCUGCGAGGAUGGCCAGCCACACUGGGACUGAGACACGGCCCAGACUCCUACGGGAGGCAGCAGUGGGGAAUCUUGCGCAAUGGGCGAAAGCCUGACGCAGCCAUGCCGCGUGGAUGAUGAAGGUCUUAGGAUUGUAAAAUCCUUUCACCGGGGACGAUAAUGACGGUACCCGGAGAAGAAGCCCCGGCUAACUUCGUGCCAGCCGCCGCAGUAA